CUGGCCUGGCGGGUGGCGUGGGCUGCGGCCUCUUCCCGUUUCUUCCCGCCUCCCCGAGCUUUUAAAGGCCUGAAGUGGGUUCUGUCCUCUCAGGCCGGGAGUUUCCUACUCUGGGGGCGCUUCUCGCAGAGCUCACCCACGCAAACUCCCCUCAGCCGCUGGUGGAAAAGGAGACUGAGGUGCAGUAAAAGGAAGUGAUUUUCGAAGAACACACUGGUGAUAAGAGUUUGCUCAGCCCUGUCUGCAACUUUGCAAAUAUGUCUGCCACCUGCCACCUCGACUGCCCUGGAAACCUGGCCAUUUAUUCAAAGCUCAUUCAGAAAAUGAUAAAUAAAGGAACUGAAGGUCUGUGAGGUGAAGAAAACUGCCCAAAGAUUUACAAUUGGACCCCGCAAGCUUCCAUGUCGUCUGCUCCUGACAUCCAAGCAUCAACAUCAUCAUGGCUCAAUGAUCCAGGACCACCUGAAGCCAAUGAUUCUCCUUCUGAUGUAUCAUCAGAAGGUCAACAGGAGCCUAAGACUACGUCAGGGUGCCUAUAUCAUUCACCUCACUUCAUCUCAUCAUGUAGACAUUUUAUCAUCUCACAUCAUCACAAGAAGAAGGAGGUAUCGGGGCCAUCUCUCCAAGUUCCCCUAUGGUUGAUGUUACUGAGGUUCUGUAUAUGUGUCUUCACUGCUAGGAGG